UCAAAAUGUGAAUUUCUGUUUUGAAGCAGAAUUUACCUAUGUAAGUUCUAAGUAUACAGAUAUGCUUUAUCAGUUUGAGAAUUUAUGGAGAAUUAGCCACUCCAUGUAAGAGGCUGCUUUUUUUCUGAUGACCUCUUCAUUUGGGCCAGCUCCAGUGUUAUAAAAAGCUUACACUCUGUUAGAGUAACAUAAGAAAUAAGAAAGAUUGGGGAUAGCGGAAAUUGAAACAGGCAUUCUUUUUUCUUCUGAAGACAGAAGUGAAGCGAUUGCCCAUGUUUGUUGAAUUUUAUUACAGUGAAAGCAGAGAUUUCUCCACACUUUCGGUCUCAGCCUUUGUCCAGCCUCACUAUGCAGUGUAUGCAUCACCUUCUGAACUAAAGAAGCAGUUCACACUUGACCUAGAACUUCAAGUUACCUGUGACCACUACUUAUAAAAAUCUUACUACUGGAUAUGCCAAAAGAAUUUCAUUGGUUGAAGAGAGAUAACAUGAAAUGGAAAGCCCAGAUCUCCAGAAAGAAAUGAAGAGAACCAGAAAAGAAAAAUGUGAAACUCCUGACCAAGCCCUCCCAGAAAGAACCACAAAAACAAAACAAAAAGCCCAAGAAGAUACAAAAGCGAAUCCUGAAAACAUAACUUUUUCUCAUAUAAGCUUGUGGGAUCUUAGUUCCCUGACCAGGGACGGAACCCAGGCCCUCAG